GCCUCCCUCCGCCGCCACUCAGACUCCGUACGGGACGGCGAGCAGUGGGAAGUCGUUGCACAAUAGGAAGGAAACGUACUAGAUGCAGCGACGCCGCGUGAGCGAUGAAGCCUUCGGGUGUAAGCUCUUUCGACGGGAACGAGUAAUGACGGUACCGAAGAAGAAGCUGCGGCUAACUACGUGCCAGCAGCCGCGGUAAUAC
rnacentral:rRNA from 1 species